GUUAAAAUCAGUAAGAGGACAGUACCUGUGUACAGCAAGAGUGUUGGACCUUGAACAGAAAUUAACUACCAGAACACUGAAAAACCCAAAAGUCUCCAUGGAAUUAGAAGACAGAAAAUACUUGAAAAUUAGCAAUAAUGAUCACAUUUUUCGUAGGCAAAGAUCAGCAUGGACACUAUGAAAACAACAGGCAGAAUAUACUCCAUUGUCUCCACUGUUUUGAAACAUUAGGUUGAAAGUCAGACUUUGAAAUCAAGGACACUGGACAAAAAAGAAUGUAGAUACUUCACAAGUUCCCAAUAACAGAUACUGGAAAAAUAAAAACUCUGGCAACUUGUCCUGGAUGUUGAGCAAAGUCACAGGAUGGAAGAUAUGAUCCAUAUACCUCUGCUGAAGUAAACAUGGAAAAUAUUAUUUCUGUCAGUGGCACCAUGCUGUUGAGAAACAAAUUCUGCCAAAUAUACUUGACAUUCUUAUUUAA